rnacentral:tRNA from 1 species
GGUUUAAUGGUCUAGUUGGUUAUGACAUCUGUCUAACACACAGAAGGUCUCCAGUUCAAACGUUCAAGUCUGGGUUGAACCU